rnacentral:rRNA from 1 species
CUCUAGAGAUAGAGCUUCCCCUUCGGGGGCAAAGUGACAGGUGGUGCAUGGUUGUCGUCAGCUCGUGUCGUGAGAUGUUGGGUUAAGUCCCGCAACGAGCGCAACCCUUAUUGUUAGUUGCCAUCAUUCAGUUGGGCACUCUAGCAAGACUGCCGGUGACAAACCGGAGGAAGGUGGGGAUGACGUCAAAUCAUCAUGCCCCUUAUGACCUGGGCUACACACGUGCUACAAUGGGAAGUACAACGAGUCGCGAAGUCGCGAGGCUAAGCUAAUCUCUUAAAGCUUCUCUCAGUUCGGAUUGCAGGCUGCAACUCGCCUGCAUGAAGCCGGAAUCGCUAGUAAUCGCGGAUCAGCACGCCGCGGUGAAUACGUUCCCGGGCCUUGUACACACCGCCCGUCACACCACGAGAGUUUGUAACACCCGAAGUCGGUGAGGUAACCUUUUUGGAGCCAGCCGCCUAAGGUGGGAUAGAUGAUUGGGGUGAAGUCGUAACAAGGUAGCCGUAUCGGAAGGUGCGGCUGGAUCACCUCCUUUCUAAGGAA